ACCUGCGGAAGGAUCAUUUAAUGAAUAACU
rnacentral:rRNA from 1 species